UGCAGUUCGAGCGAAUCCUGAGGGAGCUUGCUCCCAAAGAUUAGCGGCGGACGGGUGAGUAACACGUGGGCAACAAGCACAUAGUAAGACUGGGAUAACUUCGGGAAACAGGAGCUAAUACCGGAUAAUCCUUUUCUAACUCAAGGAGAAAAGCGGAAAGAUGGCUUCAGCUAUAACUAUUACGAAGAGCCCCCCGCCCCAUUACUUAAUUUGUGGGAGAGUUACCGCUCCACCAGGGGGCAACAAUCCUAACCCAACGUGGAAAGGUUGAACGGGCCCACCGGGAACGGAAACCCGCCCAAAACCCCUACCGGAAGGCACCAGUAAGGAAUCCUCCGCAAUGGAAGAAAGUCCGAAGGAACAACGCCCCCGGGAGUGGAUGAAGGGUUUCCGAACCUAAAACUCUGUUGGUAAGGAAGAACAAGUACCGGUCCAAUAAGGGCGGUACCUUGACCGGUACCUAACCAGAAAGCCACGGCCAACUACCUGGCCAGCAGCCCCGGGAAUACCUAAGUGGCAAGCGUUGUCCGGAAUUAAUGGGCGUAAAGCGCGCGCAAGUGGGUUCCUAAGUCUGAAGUGAAAACCCCCGGGCUCAACCGGGAAGGGUCAUUGGAAACUGGGAGAAUUGAGUGCAGAAAAAGAAAGUGGAAUUCCAAGUGUAGCGGUGAAAUGCGUAGAGAUUUGGAAGAACACCAGUGGCGAAGGCGACUUUCUGGUCUGUAACUGACACUGAGGCGCGAAAGCGUGGGGAGCGAACAGGAUUAGAUACCCUGGUAGUCCACGCCGUAAACGAUGAGUGCUAAGUGUUAAAGGGUUUCCGCCCUUUAGUGCUGCAGCAAACGCAUUAAGCACUCCGCCUGGGGAGUACGGCCGCAAGGCUGAAACUCAAAGGAAUUGACGGGGGCCCGCACAACCGGUGGAGCAUGUGGUUUAAUUCAAAGCAACGCGAAGAACCUUACCAGGUCUUGACAUCCUCUGACAAUCCUAGAGAUAGGACGUUCCCCUUCCGGGGACAGAAUGACAGGUGGUGCAUGGUUGUCGUCACCUCCAGUCGGGGAAAUGGUGGGUUAAGUCCCCCAACCAACGCCAACCCUUGAUCUUAAUUGCCACCAUUCACUUUGGGCACUCUAAAGUGAACUGCCCGGUGACAAACCCAAGGAAGGUGGGGAUGACGUCAAAUCAUCAUGCCCCUUAUGACCUGGGCUACACACGUGCUACAAUGGAUGGUACAAAGGGCUGCAAGACCGCGAGGUUUAGCCAAUCCCAUAAAACCAUUCUCAGUUCGGAUUGCAGGCUGCAACUCGCCUGCAUGAAGCCGGAAUCGCUAGUAAUCGCGGAUCAGCAUGCCGCGGUGAAUACGUUCCCGGGCCUUGUACACACCGCCCGUCACACCACGAGAGUUUGUAACACCCGGAAAGUCGGUGGGGAAACCGCAAGGAGCCAGCCGC
rnacentral:rRNA from 1 species